AUGUCCAUCUUUCCUUUUCUUUAUCUACAACUUAACAUCCAUCCACGUGCAUCUUAUCUACUCAACCUUCAUCCAUCCACUCUUUUCUCUCCUCCCCGACAAGCUCCUCCUCUCGCUUCACUCCAUAUCCAUCUUACAAUCAUCUCUCCAUUCCACCCACACAAGCUCUUCACCACAGCUCACCCCCCACCCCCUCUUCCUCCUCCUCCUCCUCUUUCCCUCACUAUCUCCUCUAAGAUGUCACUUCCACAGAUCCUGAGGGUAUUUUUUUUUUGUUCAGCUUCCCAUAUGUUUUCUCCAGCACUUGUCCUUUCCUCUCAGAGAGUCUCUCCACUGUUGUACUUCUGUAUUUUCAGGGAAUGUUUACCUCUGUUUUAUCCUCUUUUUUUUCAGACCAAACGUAGACUAGAAAAAAGGAGCAAACCUGCACCACUGACCAGAGCAAGUUGUAGGAUAUUUCAUCUGUAUGAAGAGGAGACAGAAGAAGCCAUCACCUGCAAUCAAAGCUGUCCCUCCAUCUGUCCCAGCAGGAUGCAGGCGCACCAUUUUGGCGUUUGGGACAAAAUGAAAUGCUGCAGGGAUCCAGGCCGGUUGUUGGGGAGAGGAGGCGAGAGAGAGAGAAAAGCAUAGAAGAACAUUUGCAAGCUUCUGCGAGGAAAAGGGAGGAGAGAGGGAGAUGCAUGACUCAGAGCUCAGCAGCUGGAAUACUGUGUAUUCUUCAUGAGCAAUAGAUAGAGGAGCAAUGGGAGCGAUAUAGAGAAGGGACCGCACCAGAAUUGAGCAGUCGUUAGACAGAGGAAGGACGUGACGAGGUCAGAAGCAGGAGCACUGGCGGGCAGUGAGUGAGAUAUAGGUCGACGUGAAUCAGGUUGCUAGAGGCUGAGGAAGGCAAGAAGAGGGUGAGUUUGGAAAGUGGAUGGUUUGAUAUGACUGAAGCUGGCUGAGGGAAGGUUGAAGGUUCGCUGCAGGGCGGAAAGUCCUCAGUGACUGUGUCUUGCUACGGGGAGAGAACAUGACUGAGGUCUGCAUAUGGGACGACAAGCUUCAAGAAAGUUGACCACGGGAAAGGAAGAAAAUGGUAGAGAGUAGAGAGGUUUAGAAAAAAAACAACACAUAGCACCAGGGGACAGGACAUAGAGAUGAAGAACCACUCAGGCUUGGCAAGAGCAAAACUUCACAUACAAGAAGAGAGAAACAGCUAUAAAGGUCGGUAAGAGAGACCAACUGGACAUUGCUGACCAGAGAACUUAUCGUCCAGUGCACAACAACAGGGACAUGGAAACUUAAACUAUGACACAAGCACAGCAAGAAGUUCCUGUUAAAUAUUGAUGCUGACAGGCCACUCUCGAAAAAGCUCGCUCCUUGAACCACAGAGGAGGAGGCAGUGGGAAGAGACACAGUUAAUGUUUUAUUCCAAGGGAUUCACACACCGCAGUUAAGGUACGCCAGAAGAAGGCUAAAUGUGGAGUUAACAUUUUGACUGCAAAUUAAGAGUCAGAGAUUAGUCAAGCCUCGCGUUCCUGGAGGGAUUUUUCUCGGUGAGAGUGGAUUGACGACAGAGAAAACUGGACUGUUAUCAUAUGUGGGAACAUCUAACGAGAGGAGAAUCAACGUUUGAGAGAUCACACCAGGACUAGAGCAAUUUCUUCUUUCUCUGCAAGCACAAGAUCCCAGUCUGGCGGAUAUCUUAUAUCUUGAUAUAUAUCUUGGAUUGACUGCCACUGUGGGAUACAUCACUGCCAGACGAGAGAUAAGCCAAACACUGCUGAAGCAUUCAUAAAUGUUUCCACCUAUUGUUUUGACUGGUACUGUUUCAACUCUCUGAAAAUGGACUCACUCCAAAGAUUUGACUUGUGAAGGUUUGUUCGUCACGGCUUGAGGAUAAAUGAGCAUGGAAACAUUUUGAAGUGCAUCAACAUAAAGGAUUCUUUAAUUGAAGACAAGAUGCAUACUUUGUUCUUGUAUCCAUGACUGAAAAAGGGUCAUUAUGGCUGUAAAUGUUGUCAUGGCAUUAGGCUACAGUCUGCUCUCUCUCUCCUACCUGAAUCACAUAUUCCUCAAAUUGUCAACACAAAAACGUAGGAAGACAUAACGCACGUCUCCAUCCGGCUGCGGACCGACCAGCUGCGUGUUCGCGUGUGCGCGUGUGGGUGUAAGGACUGUCGAGGAGCUCAGCUGUGUUUGUGUGAGCUUGUGUGGAGGUGUGUGUCUGUGAGUGUGUGCGCCGAGCUUUGAACCGCAGCUGUGUCUGAGUGUAUUUUCAAAGUGUUGCCCGGAGCUGUGUUUCUGUGAGUGUGUGUGCCCGGAUUCUCCCCACCAGCGAUAGAGCUGGACCUGAACAGCCGUGGUGAGAGGGGGGACAGGGAGGGGGAGGAGGAUGAGAAGAGGGAGGUGAAAGAAACCAGCAGGACGGAGGAGAAGAAAGAACUGACAACAUGCUCGGGUAAAGGGACGAAAGAGAGGAGUCUUUGGCUGCCCCCCUGGUGCAAUGUGUG
rnacentral:lncRNA from 1 species